rnacentral:rRNA from 1 species
UACGAAGGGGGGCUAGCGUUGCUCGGAAUCAUUGGGCGUAAAGGGCGCGUAGGUGGCCCAGCAAGCGUGCGGUGAAAGCUCGGGGCUCAACCCCGAGUCGGCCGUGCGAACUGCUGGGCUGGAGCACUGUAGAGGCAGGCGGAAUUCCGGGUGUAGCGGUGGAAUGCGUAGAGAUCCGGAAGAACACCGGUGGCGAAGGCGGCCUGCUGGGCAGUUGCUGACACUGAGGCGCGACAGCGUGGGGAGCAAACAGG